GGAUAUGAUGAAAAGGCAUAAUUGUUUUGUGACACCCAGUCUGAUCUGCUUUUGGCAGAAUGAGUGAUUUGCCAUGUUCUCUGAUCU
rfam:Brassica napus, WGS project CCCW01000000 data, contig: 19463